rnacentral:rRNA from 1 species
UACAGAGGGUGCAAGCGUUAAUCGGAAUUACUGGGCGUAAAGCGUGCGCAGGCGGUUUUGUAAGUCUGUCGUGAAAUCCCCCGGGCUCAACCUGGGAAUUGCGAUGGAGACUGCAAGGCUAGAAUCUGGCAGAGGGGGGUAGAAUUCCACGUGUAGCAGUGAAAUGCGUAGAGAUGUGGAGGAACACCGAUGGCGAAGGCAGCCCCCUGGGUCAAGAUUGACGCUCAUGC